rnacentral:lncRNA from 1 species
UGAAGAUGGCGGAAAAUAUGCAGCCAAAGUCCGAUGAGAGCGGAUACAAAUUCAUUGCUUUAACUAAUUAUGGCAAAUGUUAAGAAAAUGUUGCGCAACGUAAUAAAUCCAGAGUUGGAUGGUGAGCCGUGCAUUGCAUGACGUACAAUUUUGUGCUGUUUCUAUCAGAAUAAAUCUCCAUGACUGGUGCUACAAGUUGGAGUUCGUGUCGAUGAUUGAUUGUACACAACGCAAGAAGAGUACUGUUACAGUGGUGCCGUGACCGUUCUUCUAGAUCGGAUCGUCCUUCGCUGGAUUUUCAUCUCAGAACUUCGCGGUGGUUGCCGUUGGAGUAUCAGAUAAAACGUUGCUGGUGCAGUUUAUGGCGAUAUCGCAUUUCGCCACAGGAGGGCACUACUGCAACGUUUUAUUUUCGAAAUUGAUGAUUUUUCUGUUUGAGACUUUCUAUAUUGAUUGGAACUUUCUCUUCACGGAUAAACGCUAACUUUUGUUUUACUUGUUUAUUUGCAAUUCUAAUGUAUAUCUGAUGUAACUAGGGUGAGUUAAGUGUACUAGAUAUGUUAGAUUUUGACGUGAGGUUUAAAAACAUAUAUAUAUAUAUAUUGCUAUUUGCAUUUUGAUUUUAGUGUGUUGAUUUCCCAUUAUUAAAAUGGAAGGUGUUGGGAGAGGUAGGGGUUUCCUGACAUUUAAUCUGUCACCAUCUGUUGGUAGGGGUUCAGCCAAAAUUCAAGUUGCUUCUAUACCUAAACUGGGGAGUUUUGAUGAUAGUUUACCCAUGGAAACGCCCAAGGAUGUGAAUGAAAGAGGUUUGCCAAAUACAGGGAGUGGGGAGGUCUCCAUGGAUUUCAUAGUACAGCAGAUUGUCCAUUCCAUUGGGGAGAACAUUGCCUCCUGUUUGGAGUCAAAGGCAAUUGUUGGACAUGUUGGGGACAAUGUUAUGGGGAAUGCAUGCAGCUCUAGGGGUAUGGAUGUGUCAGGCCUGAACCUGGUAUUGAAGUCUGAUAUCAGGGAGCCGGUGUACUUUCGGGGGGAUGGCUCUGAAAAGUGCACAAUGCAUGAGUGGGAGGAUAUGGUCACGGUUUACAUGCGUAAGAGGGGCGUAUCUGUGAUGGACCAAGCAGAUGAGGUUAUGGGUAGGCUUAUGGGAAGGGCCCGCGAUGUUGUUAAAGUGGGCAUACGCAGCAAUCCCUCUGUUGAUGUAUCUAAAGGCCCAAGUCCCAUCUUUGACAUACUGAAAUAACAUUUUAGUGACACUGCUUUUUCAAGCAUGCCCCUCGCUGACUUUUAUGCCACAUUACCUCUGACUGAUGAACAACCAUUUGACUAUUGGCUCAGAUUAAACAGGGCUAUGGAGGUUGCUGAAGAUUGUCUAAAGAAACAGAAAAAAAGUGUUGAAGUCCUCUCUCUCGUGAGCUCACAGUCAUGUUCAUCAGACAUUGCCCUAACGCUGAACUGUUGCUUAUCUUUAAGUGCAAGCCAUUACAGCAGUGGGCCGCUGCAGAUGUUCAUGAGAGGUUGGAUGAAUACAGGAGGGAGCGGAGGUACUCUCACUUAUCUAAGGUGAUCCCCAGCCAUCGCAACAAUGAAGCAG